AAUGUAUUCGACCGUUUACUGUUUUAGUUUGCUCUGUGAAGUUUGAGCACUGUUACAAGCUGCUGCUUCUUGUGUUGUGGACUGUUGGGGAUAGCAUUAGCUUGCGUUGCUAAAGUUAGACUGUGUGUGUGUUAGCUUGGCUAGCAGCAACCCUAAUACUAAUAAAAUAAUUAAUUUACGACUGGAUAUUGUGAAUCCUCAGACUCCGUGAAGGGACAACCGUCUUGUUUUGCCAGCCACUAACAGCAGAUUAAGAAAAGAAGAGGGUUUUGGUUAAAUAAAGAAUCUGUGGCUUUCUAACAACUGUGCUUUGAUUCCAAAUAAAAAGCUGCUGAACGAUUUCUUUACGAUGUCUUUAUUCAAACACACCUUUAUAUAUUAUAACCUUUUGUCUAUUAAAUUCUAAACAUCACGUGCGUGCUAUGUGCUGUGCUUUCCAUAGGGACAAUAUGUUUCUCGGGAUCUCGAGAUAGUUCACCUAUUUUUUUUCCCCCACUAUUUUUUUGUCUUUUCAGGGGCUCCGUAUAGCAGAGAUUUUCAGUUUUUACAUUUUUGUUAGAGCUUUAGCCCUGCCUUGCAGUGAGUUUGUGUUUUAUUUGUUACCUGCUUAAAUGUAGCAGUGAGUUUGUGUUUGUGUUUAAUAAAUCAUUUCAUCUUUACUUUACUUCCUUUGUGUUCGGGUAAUGCAAAUGGUUUCUUCCCCCCUCCAUAUUCCCCUGCGACCUGGUCAGCGGAUGCAGCCAGGGAAGCAUAUAGGUUUAGUGCUAAACCGAGAGUUUUUAGUAGUGCGACGUGGUCGCAGCUGUGUGCAACAAGUGUUGUACCUAAGCUCUGUGAGAGUAAUAGUUUCCUGCUUGGUGCGGGCGUGCGUAUUACCGUUCCGCCUCCACAUCAUCUUCUCUCCUGUCAUGACUAACAUUUAAAACUCUUUCUCCUUAUUCUUACUGUAGAUGCAGUAUAGGAAUCAGAUCUCAAAGUAAUGCAUGUGCGAAGUGAUGUAAAUCAGAUCUGGGAGUCACCAAAGACUGAUAUGCUCCCAGAGCUGGGCCAACCUCCUUAUACUCAAGUUGGUGAGUGUUGUUCUUAUCAAACACGAGGAAUAUAUCCUGGAAAGAGGGUAGAGACAGCAAACUGAAUGCAUGAAGGACACAAAGUCUGCCUCACUGAGAAAUUCUGGAAUUCUAGCCAGUUCAGCUGAGCGAUGUCUUGGCUCUGGGGAAAACAAUGAGGUCAAGAAAAGACCUAAAACUCACCACUAAUCUGACAAAGGCAGAGUGAUACGCUGUUCAGGUUUGCAUAAAUUAACACAUUCAUUCUGAACAAGCUGCAUAAUUACUAUAAAUAAUUAAAAAACAGCAGCAUCUUGUAUGUGGCAGGCCACAGCAAAAGGAAAGAGAAACUUUAGAACCCAGAGGUAGAGUAUCAGGACUUUAAUCUGAGGGUUCAGGGUCCUAGAGUUUUGACAUGCUUUCCCAAUUGUCGUAGAAAAUUGUCGAUAAAAAAAGUUUAAACGCUGCUUCCAGUGCUACUGUUCUUCUUAUUCCGUGCUUGGCAUUUAAAGCUGCUAUGCCAUUUAGAGUCACUUUGACACUUUUAUUUGAGUUGUUGUUGUUUAAGGAUACAUCCAUGAGCACCACCAGACUCUUGCAGUGCUCCAGAGCCAAGUUCUUCUCACUGCCAGCCAAUGCUGAAGAAGUCAGUAAACUUGACUGGUCUGGAUGUAGAGCUCACCGAGCUGCAGUGCUUCUCAAACAGCUGUCUGAUCGAUGCAGAUGAAGGAAGAACCGUUUGAUGAGGAUACGAAAGCUGCAGGAGAAACAGAAUGGAUUCAAAAAGAAAAAAAACUAAUGGAAAAAAACACAUUUAUUCUAGCUUUGCAGUUUGUAACAUGUAUGUAAUUAAAGCUUGAUCCUGAGAUUGUGAAAAAACACAGUGGGAAGCAAACAUUUAAAAGAGUCAACUUGAGUUCCUGUUAAGGUCGACUAAGAAUCUGAUGAUUUACAUACUAAGCUAUAUGAAAGAGAUGAACCAACUGAGCCUUUAAACAUAACAGGGGUUUAACUCAUACAAAAAAGUACUAAAAGUAGAGUUGUGGUAAUUAAAGGUUUUAGCAGCUGAAUCUUGCAGCUCUGAAACAGUGAAAUAUUAAAGCUUCUCAGCAGAGUCAUACUCCCGACAAUUAAAGCAUCUGUGAGCUGUUUGGGUUUAUUGGUUGCAUGCCUGAUCUCUCCUAUGCAGCGAUAUAAUGGUUCCAUGUAGUAUUUAAUUAAACCUUGAGGUAACUGCU